CCGAAAGAGGAGAGGUUCUGAUGGAUCGGCAGCGCUUUGGACCAAUGAAAGUCGGCAACAGCUUCUGUCUGUCGGCGAUGUAAGCGAGAAGAGAGGGUGAAAAGUUAGGCGGAGCUUAAGGUGACUGGCAGAUGGAUGGACAACUUGUGUAUUGUCCAAUCAGCGCUUCACACACAGAGAUACGGGAGACGGAGGCGGGAUUUGGCGUGUAUGUGGAAGAGUGAGUACAACGAGAGGCUCCUCGUAGCUGGUUGCUGAAAGAUAUAUGUGGGAGAAAGAAUAGUAAUCAUGCUAAAGCCCAUAUCGCUAUAGCACAGUAAAACAGCAGAAGAUGCCAAAGGAAGAUGUCUUCAAGGAAAAGAAGGGAAGGAAUGUGAUGGAGGAAACCUGUCAAUCAAG